CUGCUUCACCUCCUGCCAUGAGUAAAAGCUCCCUGAAGCCUCCCCAGAAGGCAGACAGAUGACAGCGUGACACAUCCCAUACAGCCUGCAGAACUAGAUGAGGUUUCACCAUGUUAGCCAGGAUGGUCUCAAUCUUCUGACCUUGUGAUCCACCUGCCUCAGUCUCCCAAAGUGCUGGGAUUACAGGAAUCUGGUUUGCUGAUUGGUGGCUCUACAGUCUGUUUCACUGAAAACUGCACCAAAUCCACCUGUGGAGUGAUCUAAAUUUCUGGAGCUCAAAAUUAUAAUUAGUACCUUUCCAUCACGACUAUUGAAAUAAUUAAAGACAAAUUUUUUUUUGUCUUUAAAACACACACACAUACACACACACACACACACACACACACAC